ensembl:lncRNA DLX6-AS1 DLX6 antisense RNA 1
GCUUCAAAUUGGAUGGCACUGCAGCUGGAGGCUUUGUUCAGAAUUGAUCCUGGGGAGCUACGAACCCAAAGUUUCACAGUAGGAAGGGGGAAAAAAGAAAAGAAAACAUUUUUCCUAAUGUAACAAUGCGAAUGCUAGAAAAUGACAAGACUGAUCGGUUUUAAACCAUUCUGAAGACUGACUGAGCGUGGAAGUUGCUCAACAAAAAAAGGAACGGGUAUAUUGAGUCUUGCUCUAUUGCCCAGGCUGCAACUGGUGUGAUCUCGGCUCACUACAACCUCUGCCUCCUGGGUUCAAGCGAUUCUCCUGCCUCAAGCUCCCAAGUAGCUGGGAUUACAAGCAUGCACCACCAUGCCUGGCUAAUUUUUGUAUUUUUAGUGGAGACGGGGUUUCGCCACAUUGGCCAGGGUGGUCUUGAACUCCUGACCUCAAGUGAUCCACCUGCCUUGGCCUCCCAAAGUGCUGGGAUUAUAAGCAUGAGCCACUGCACCCAGCCUUAUACUGAACUUUCAAUGGGUUCAAUUCCACUAGGAGCAUAAAGGCCACUGCAUAUGAGUUGUGGAAAGAAGAGAUUAGAAGAAGGAAGAACUUGAGAUGAGUUCCUCCCUUCAACAUUCUGUCUCCUCCUACCUAGCAUCUUCUUUCUUUUAGUCUUUCUAGAAUGUCCAUCUGUUUUUGGCCAUUGCGGAGAGAGAAGCUGAGCUUUAAAGGAGUAGGAGCUUCAAAGGCUUGCUGAGACAAAGGAAAACCCACUCCCUUGGAGGAGCAUGACCUUUUCCUGUAAUUCUUCCCACUGCUGUUGUUGAGCUCCUUGGAUCCUGGCUCCUGGACACCAUCAUCAAGAAGACUUUAUGGAUGGGCUGUCCACCCACUGAGAGAAGAGGAGCAUCAGCUACAGUUUCUCUCUAGAUUGCCUUCUUCAUUUUGAGUAAUGACUGUCAGCAGGGUCAGAUUAAACACAAAACAACUGGACAAUUGCUUGGAGGACUAAACUAUAAGGGCACUAACAUGUCAAUAGUAGGCUAACACAUCCAUGGAAAAUAUAUUUACCAGCUCUUCUCUCAGGGAGGAUUCUGUGUGGGGUUGGAAGUAAUGAUUUGUUAAAUUCCUUAGGGGUAGAAAGUAGGGCAUAAUCAGAAUAUAGAGGAAUAUGCUGUUUGACUUCAGGGUUUCUGUUUUUCUUACUAGGAUAUAUAAAACAGGGACUCUAGCUAGAUUGUUUAUGACCACAGAGGGUAGGCUGAGUGCUCCCAUGAUCUUCCUGCUUGGUUCUUGCCCAUACAGAGGUCAGCCUUUCCUCUAAUAAAGAUUGAACAAGUAGUGGUCUGAGGGAGACACCAAUUCAUUACCCUACAUGUCUCUUCUCUGCACUCCAGGGCUUUGAUAAUAAAGACACUGGCAGACUAUCUAUCUUCCAUUUCUAUAAUGUGAGCCCUUAGGGAGUCUUCGUUCACUUGGGGGUGAGGGUCAUUGCUCACAGAGUAGUUCAAGUCAAAUGGAACUUGAACUCUUUGCCUAUGGGCCUGGUGGUCAGACUCUGUGUUGAGUUCAUUAGAUUAUUGGAGACACAAGGUAGAGCUGGAUGCUUCAAAAAUAUUUGGCUAAAGGAUGACAUUGCUGGUUAUUUGUAGAUAAAGCCAUGAUGGAACCUGCUUGGAAUCAUGAAAUAUGGAACUGGUGGUCAUGUUUAAAAAUACAACUAAUAGUUAAGUACCUACUGGACACUGUAGAGACUUAGGGGCUAGACAGACAUGGUUCCUGCCCCCUUGGAGCUUACACUGUAGCUUCCCCUUAGGUAUGAAGAACAGUGGCUACAACUAACAAAUGGCCACAAAGAUAUAAUUGAGCCAGUGUUCCAAUUAUUAGGGUAAUUCCUAUUUCCUUAAUCAUUCCUAUUGACCAUGUUCUAUAAGCCUGCAUUCUAUAAAUGGCGUAUGACCAUGGGCUGUUUCCCCCCAGCAAGUUGUACAAAGUUCUGUGGUACCAGGGAAAGGGCUUAAGGUUAGCAGGGCCUCUGCGGAAGGACAUAUGAAGUGACUUGGGUUAGGAAACAGGAAGGGAUAGGAUUCAAGAACAGCUAUUGCUUCUGUUCUAUAUAGGAAACUGCAGCGUGAAAAAUGCUGGGCUGGGAAUUUUGAGACCUGGGUUUUAGUUUGUGUUCUAAUACUAACAAGCUAUGUGACUGUGGGUAAGUCAUUUCACAUUCCAUUUGGAUGCCUCUUGAGUGACUCCAGGCCUCUCCAGCUCUAAAACAUUAAGAUCAGGCCCUACGCUACAGCUGGCCAGUGUGUAAUUCUUCUGUUUCUAUGCUGUUAGGUCAAAUAGAUCUUCAAUAGUUACUUGAUUGUUAUUACUUUUUUCUGAAGUGGGUGUUUUAUCAAUGUUUUAGGAUACAGUGAGUCUGCUUCUCCCCUUUGGAGUUAGGAAGGUUGUAGGAAUAUACACUGUAGAGCAUAUGGGAGCUUUAUCCCCUCCUUUUUUCCCCGCUACCUUUCUCCCUCUCCUUCCCUUCAUCACAUUUCUAUUGAGCAUAUGCCAUUGCCGUGUACCAGGUGUGUGCUAGGUUUGGAGAUACAAGGUAAACCUGAGACUUUCCCAGUCUCCAGGAGACAAAACCCUAAUUUCUUUCAUCUGCUGUCUUUCUCUUUGGAAAGAAUCAACGAUAUCCCAGGGGAAUGUGCCCAUGUCCCAGGGUAACCAACUACAGACAGAUGCCCCAUUCUACUCAAGCAACUUUUAGAGUGCCUUGAGAUACACAUCAGAUAAUUAUGCAGGGCCAGGCAUGGUGCUGCACACUUGUAAUCACAGCACUUUGGGAGGCCGAGGCAGCAGAUUGCUUGAGCCCAGGAAUUCAAGUGUAGCCUAGGGAACAUGGCAAAACCCCAGCUCUACAAAAAAAUACACAAAUUAGCUGCGUGUGGUGGCCUAUGACAGGAGGCUGAGAUGGGAGGAUUGCUUGAGCCUGUGAGGUCGAGGCUGCAGUGAGCCGAGAUCAUGCCAU